CCUACGGGUGGCAGCAGUGGGGAAUAUUGGACAAUGGGCGAAAGCCUGAUCCAGCCAUGCCGCGUGAGUGAUGAAGGCCCUAGGGUUGUAAAGCUCUUUCACCGGUGAAGAUAAUGACGGUAACCGGAGAAGAAGCCCCGGCUAACUUCGUGCCAGCAGCCGCGGUAAUACGAAGGGGGCUAGCGUUGUUCGGAAUUACUGGGCGUAAAGCGCACGUAGGCGGAUUGUUAAGUGAGGGGUGAAAUCCCAGGGCUCAACCCUGGAACUGCCUCUCAUACUGGCAAUCUCGAGUCCGGAAGAGGUGAGUGGAAUUCCGAGUGUAGAGGUGAAAUUCGUAGAUAUUCGGAGGAACACCAGUGGCGAAGGCGGCUCACUGGUCCGGUACUGACGCUGAGGUGCGAAAGCGUGGGGAGCAAACAGGAUUAGAUACCCUUGUAGUC
rnacentral:rRNA from 1 species